rnacentral:rRNA from 1 species
AAGUCGUAACAAGGUUUCCGUAGGUGAACCUGCGGAAGGAUCAUUCAUAAUAAGUGUUUUACUGCACUUUUUAAAAAUAGUACUCACCUUGUGUGCAAUGUUGUGUUUCUUUUCGGAGAAACACCUACACCAACCUAUAACCUUGAACCACUUUGUCUGAAAAACUAUUAUGAAUACUUAAUUCAAAAUACAACUUUCAACAACGGAUCUCUUGGCUCUCGCAUCGAUGAAGAACGCAGCGAAAUGCGAUACGUAAUGUGAAUUGCAGAAUUCAGUGAAUCAUCGAAUCUUUGAACGCACAUUGCACUCUCUGGUAUUCCGGAGAGUAUGCUUGUUUGAGUAUCAGUAAACACCUCAAGUCUCUUCUCUAGGGAAGAGAAUUGGACUUGAGCAAUCCCAACUCUUUGCAAAAAGAGGCGGGUUGCUUGAAAUGCAGGUGCAGCUGGACAUUCUUCUGAGCUAAAAGCAUAUUUAUUUAGUCCCGUCAAACGGAUGAUUACNUUUGCUCUAGCUAANAUAAAGGUCGAAUGCGCUAAUGCNNNNNUUUAAAUCUGGCUGGUUUACUANNNNNAAUNNUAGNUUAAAGAAGCGUUUUCGGUGGCAGUCUCNGNNUAAUCUUUGGAAUAGGGUAUCAUAGAGGGUGAGAAUCCCGUCUUUGACUGAGAAUUUGCUACUAUGUGAUACGUUUUCAAAGAGUCGAGUUGUUUGGGAAUGCAGCUCAAAAUGGGUGGUAAAUUUCAUCUAAAGCUAAAUAUUGGCGAGAGACCGAUAGCGAACAAGUACCGUGAGGGAAAGAUGAAAAGAACUUUGAAAAGAGAGUUAAACAGUGCGUGAAAUUGUUGAAAGGGAAACGCUUGAAACCAGUCAUGUGGUUGGAAAAUCAGUGUUCAAGAGGGGGGAAUGGGGGAGGUGGGGACCGCAAGGCUGCUCUUUUCUAUAUCUCUUUUGUUGGGCAUGCACUUUUUCUUCUGCAGGUCAACAUCAGUUUCUUUUGCUGGACAAAACUCUUGAGAAGGUAGCAGCUUAGGCUGUGUUAUAGCUCUGGAGCGAUACAGUGGAGGAGACUGAGGUUUUCGCAGCAUGUGCUCUCGGGCAAGGCCAAUUGGGUGCUAUGGGAUCGUUCGGGGUACAAUACAUGUAUUUUGCCUCGUGUCCUUUCUAUACUCGUUCAGUUGAGCUCUUCCAUGCUUAGGAUGUUGACUUAAUGGUUUUAAUCGACCCGUCUUGAAACACGGACC